GGGCGCGUGGUGGAAUGGCAGACACGCAAGACUUAAAAUCUUGUUCCUUCGGGAGUGUGGGUUCGAUCCCCACCGCGCCCACCA
rnacentral:tRNA from 1 species